rnacentral:rRNA from 1 species
UACGUAGGGGGCAAGCGUUGUCCGGAAUUAUUGGGCGUAAAGAGCGCGUAGGCGGUCCGAUAAGUCGGCUGUGAAAGUCAUGGGCUCAACCCAUGAAAGCCGGCCGAUACUGUCGGACUAGAGUUCGGAAGAGGCGAGUGGAAUUCCCGGUGUAGCGGUGAAAUGCGCAGAUAUCGGGAAGAACACCCGUGGCGAAGGCGGCUCUCUGGGACGGUACUGACGCUGAGACGCGAAAGCGUGGGGAGCGAACAGG